GGGACACGUGGUAUCCUGUCUGAAUAUGGGGGGACCAUCCUCCAAGGCUAAAUACUCCUGACUGACCGAUAGUGAACCAGUACCGUGAGGGAAAGGCGAAAAGAACCCCGGCGAGGGGAGUGAAAAAGAACCUGAAACCGUGUACGUACAAGCAGUGGGAGCACGCUUAGGCGUGUGACUGCGUACCUUUUGUAUAAUGGGUCAGCGACUUAUAUUCUGUAGCAAGGUUAACCGAAUAGGGGAGCCGAAGGGAAACCGAGUCUUAACUGGGCGUUAAGUUGCAGGGUAUAGACCCGAAACCCGGUGAUCUAGCCAUGGGCAGGUUGAAGGUUGGGUAACACUAACUGGAGGACCGAACCGACUAAUGUUGAAAAAUUAGCGGAUGACUUGUGGCUGGGGGUGAAAGGCCAAUCAAACCGGGAGAUAGCUGGUUCUCCCCGAAAGCUAUUUAGGUAGCGCCUCGUGAAUUCAUCUCCGGGGGUAGAGCACUGUUUCGGCAAGGGGGUCAUCCCGACUUACCAACCCGAUGCAAACUGCGAAUACCGGAGAAUGUUAUCACGGGAGACACACGGCGGGUGCUAACGUCCGUCGUGAAGAGGGAAACAACCCAGACCGCCAGCUAAGGUCCCAAAGUCAUGGUUAAGUGGGAAACGAUGUGGGAAGGCCCAGACAGCCAGGAUGUUGGCUUAGAAGCAGCCAUCAUUUAAAGAAAGCGUAAUAGCUCACUGGUCGAGUCGGCCUGCGCGGAAGAUGUAACGGGGCUAAACCAUGCACCGAAGCUGCGGCAGCGACACUAUGUGUUGUUGGGUAGGGGAGCGUUCUGUAAGCCUGUGAAGGUGUACUGUGAGGUAUGCUGGAGGUAUCAGAAGUGCGAAUGCUGACAUAAGUAACGAUAAAGCGGGUGAAAAGCCCGCUCGCCGGAAGACCAAGGGUUCCUGUCCAACGUUAAUCGGGGCAGGGUGAGUCGACCCCUAAGGCGAGGCCGAAAGGCGUAGUCGAUGGGAAACAGGUUAAUAUUCCUGUACUUGGUGUUACUGCGAAGGGGGGACGGAGAAGGCUAUGUUGGCCGGGCGACGGUUGUCCCGGUUUAAGCGUGUAGGCUGGUUUUCCAGGCAAAUCCGGAAAAUCAAGGCUGAGGCGUGAUGACGAGGCACUACGGUGCUGAAGCAACAAAUGCCCUGCUUCCAGGAAAAGCCUCUAAGCAUCAGGUAACAUCAAAUCGUACCCCAAACCGACACAGGUGGUCAGGUAGAGAAUACCAAGGCGCUUGAGAGAACUCGGGUGAAGGAACUAGGCAAAAUGGUGCCGUAACUUCGGGAGAAGGCACGCUGAUAUGUAGGUGAAGUCCCUCGCGG
rnacentral:rRNA from 1 species